rnacentral:rRNA from 1 species
AGAGUUUGAUCCUGGCUCAGAACGAACGCUGGCGGCAGGCUUAACACAUGCAAGUCGAACGCCCCGCAAGGGGAGUGGCAGACGGGUGAGUAACGCGUGGGAAUCUACCGUACCCUACGGAAUAACGCACGGAAACGUGUGCUAAUACCGUAUACGCCCUUAGGGGGAAAGAUUUAUCGGGGUAUGAUGAGCCCGCGUUGGAUUAGCUAGUUGGUGGGGUAAAGGCCUACCAAGGCGACGAUCCAUAGCUGGUCUAGGGGGAUGAUCAGCCACAUUGGGACUGAGACCCGGCCCAAACUCAAACGGGAGGCAGCAGUGGGGAAUAUUG